GAUGAACGCUGGCGGCGUGCCUAAUACAUGCAAGUCGAGCGAACAGACGAGGAGCUUGCUCCUCUGACGUUAGCGGCGGACGGGUGAGUAACACGUGGAUACCCUCCCUAUAAGACUGGGAUAACUUCGGGAAACCGGAGCUAAUACCGUAUAAUAUAUUGAACCGCAUGGUUCAAUAGUGAAAGACGGUUUUGCUGUCACUUCUAGAUGGAUCCGCGCCGCAUUAGCUAGUUGGUAAGGUAACGGCUUACCAAGGCGACGAUGCGUAGCCGACCUGAGAGGGUGAUCGGCCACACUGGAACUGAGACACGGUCCAGACUCCUACGGGAGGCAGCAGUAGGGAAUCUUCCGCAAUGGGCGAAAGCCUGACGGAGCAACGCCGCGUGAGUGAUGAAGGUCUUCGGAUCGUAAAACUCUGUUAUGAGGGAAGAACAAAUUGGUAAGUAACUAUGCACGGCUUGACGGUACCUAAUCAGAAAGCCACGGCUAACUACGUG
rnacentral:rRNA from 1 species